GGUAAACUGUGUCAUGGGGGGUUUGUUGUCACGGGGGUUUGUUACGUAGGUAAACUGAGUCCUGAGGGUUUGGUUAUUAUUUCAUCACCCAGGUAUUAAGCCUAGUACCCAUUAGUUAUUGUUCCUGAUCCUCUCCCUCCUCCCACCCUCCACCCUCCGAUAGGCCCCAGUGUGUGUUGUUCCCCUCUAAGUGUCCGUGUGUUCUCACCAUUUAGCUCCCACUUAUGAGUGAGAACAGCAGCAUGGCAUUUCUUUCUUUUGAGACGGAGUCUCACUCUGUCGCCCAGGCUGGAGUGCAGUGGUGCCAUCUGGGCUCACUGCAACCUCCACCUCCCUGGUUCAAGUGAUUCUCCUGCCUCAGGCUCCUGAGUAGCUGGGAUUACAGGUACCCGCCACCACACCAGGCUAAUUUUUUGUGUUUUUAGUAGAGACGGGGUUUCUCCAUAUUGGCCAGGCUGGUCUCGAACUCCUGACCUCAGGUGAUCCACUGGCCUUGGCCUCCCAAAGUGCUGGGAUAACAGGCGUGAGCCACCACAACCGGCCGGCAGGGCAUUUCUUACUGUAUCUAGGAUUGGUGAGAUGGCCCCUGGAUAUGAUCCUUCUGCUGAGUUCGUCAAAGGCCAUCUUCAAACUUCAGCUUGACAAAACACCCCGAAGAAAUUCUAAAGGGACAAUCAACAGAAAAUUCUGAAAAUUUUUUUUAAUUUUUUGCCUUGAAAUGGUAAAGUCCCAUAACAACAGCUUGAAUGGAUUAACUUUAUCCCAGUCACAUAUACAAGUCACUUAUCUAUAAAUCACUUAUGUAAAACAUGUAUACUUGGAAUGACUUGAAAGAAACAUGAAAUCUGUCUCCAUUAUCUCACCUGUAAAGUGGAGAUGAUAACACCAGCUCUAACUCAUUUGGAUGAGGAAAAUGUAUGUGGAAGUUAGAGCUCAGAAGAAAAAGCUGUUAGAGCACAC
rnacentral:lncRNA from 1 species